ACGGAAGGCGCAGUGGGGAAUAUUGGACAAUGGAGGCAACUCUGAUCCAGCGACGCCGCGUGAGUGAAGAAGUAUUUCGGUAUGUAAAGCUCUAUCAGCAGGGAAGAUAAUGACGGUACCUGACUAAGAAGCCCCGGCUAACUACGUGCCAGCAGCCGCGGUAAUACGUAGGGGGCAAGCGUUAUCCGGAUUUACUGGGUGUAAAGGGAGCGUAGGCGGCCAGACAAGUCAGAUGUGAAAACCCGGGGCUCAACUCCGGGACUGCAUUUGAAACUGCCAGGCUUGAGUGCAGGAGAGGCAAGUGGAAUUCCUAGUGUAGCGGUGAAAUGCGUAGAUAUUAGGAAGAACACCAGUGGCGAAGGCGACUUGCUGGACUGAGACUGACGCUGAGGCUCGAAAGCGUGGGGAGCAAACAGGAUUAGAUACCCUGGUA
rnacentral:rRNA from 1 species